rnacentral:rRNA from 1 species
GACGAACGCUGGCGGCGUGCUUAACACAUGCAAGUCGAACGGAAAGGCCCUGCUUUUGUGGGUUGCUCGAGUGGCGAACGGGUGAGUAACACGUGUGUAACCUGCCCUUGUCUUUGGGAUAUCGUCAGGAAACUGGGGCUAAUACCGGAUAUGAGCUCCUGCUGCAUGGUGGGGGAUGGAAAGUUUCGGCGGUUCGGGAUGGACUCGCGGGUUAUCAGCUUGUUGGUGGGGUAGUUGCUUACCAAGGCUUUGACGGGUAGCCGGCCUGAGAGGGUGACCGGCCACAUUGGGACUGAGAUACGGCCCAGACUCCUACGGGAGGCAGCAGUGGGGAAUAUUGCACAAUGGGCGGAAGCCUGAUGCAGCAACGCCGCGUGCGGGAUGACGGCCUUCGGGUUGUAAACCGCUUUCGCCUGUGACGAAGCGUGAGUGACGGUAAUGGGUAAAGAAGCACCGGCUAACUACGUG